rnacentral:rRNA from 1 species
UACGGAGGGUGCGAGCGUUGUCCGGAAUCACUGGGCGUAAAGGGCGCGUAGGCGGUCUGCUAAGCGUGUGGUGAAAGCUCGGGGCUCAACCCCGAGUCUGCCAUGCGAACUGGUGGACUUGAGCACUGUAGAGGCAGGUGGAAUUCCGGGUGUAGCGGUGGAAUGCGUAGAGAUCCGGAAGAACACCGGUGGCGAAGGCGGCCUGCUGGGCAGUUGCUGACGCUGAGGAGCGAAAGCCAGGGGAGCAAACGGG